rnacentral:rRNA from 1 species
CACGUAGGGCGCAAGCGUUGUCCGGAAUUAUUGGGCGUAAAGAGCUCGUAGGCGGUCUGUUGCGUCCGCUGUGAAAACUCGGGGCUUAACCCCGAGCCUGCAGUGGAUACGGGCAGACUAGAGGUAGGUAGGGGAGAAUGGAAUUCCCGGUGUAGCGGUGAAGUGCGCAGAUAUCGGGAGGAACGCCGGUGGCGAAGGCGGUUCUCUGGGCCUUACCUGACGCUGAGGAGCGAAAGCGUGGGGAGCGAACAGG